rnacentral:rRNA from 1 species
AUUGAACGCUGGCGGCGUGCUUAACACAUGCAAGUCGAUCGGUAACAGGUGUAGCAAUACAUGCUGACGAGAGGCGGACGGGUGAGUAAUGCUUGGGAAUCUGCCUAUUAGUGGGGGACAACCCGGGGAAACUCGGGCUAACUACCGCAUACGCUCUACGGAGGAAAGCCGGGGACCGCAAGGCCUGGCGCUAAUAGAUGAGCCCAAGUC